AUUGAUACAAAUGAAGUUGGAAUAUAUAACCUCUGUGAAAGUUUCCAAAAUUUUUAUUCCUAUAUUAAUACAUGCAUUGAUUAUAGCUUAUCUUCCUCACAGGAGAUUCAUGUUAACUUCUUAUAGGGGUAGCAGAUAUUUUCCAAGUGUUAUCACUCAGGUAAUUUUCUUAUAUGUGAAACUCCUUCGUAAACAGGACCACUCUUAUGCCUAGACCUCGUACACAUCCUGCAAAAACCUUUUAUUUGUUCUUUUGUUUUACUUUGAUUUGCGUAGUUUGGCUUGGCUUGAUUGGUAUCUUGGAUUAUUUUGAAGAGGAUCGGAAAAUGACCUAGAAAGAACAAAAUAUAACAAAGUUAUAAGAUCCGUAGAGACAAAGACUGUGUAUAUGUCAAUAACAACUGGCAUUGCAGGCUUGGCACAAAGCAAAUAUAGAUAUUUGAAAUAUGAGUAAAUGAGUGUUAGUUCCAGUGUCCUCAUUAAUUAAUUAAUUUAUUUUUUUGCCCCUUUAAGAACUUUUUAGUUAAGUUUAUCAAAAUAACCAGGAAUAGUUAGAAGACCUGAAAUGUGAAUUGGAGCAUACUUUAUUUACUUCCUACUGUCGCUCCAGGCCUCCCUAUUUGUUAGUUAGAUCAAAUAUGACACUUGAUUCAUACUUGUUUCCUCACUUUUUCUACAUCUUAUUUGUCAAUUUAGUAUUUGAUGUUUCAUGUAAAUAGCUUACCCACUGUUGAUCAUUUUAUGUGUAUCAGGCACCGAUAUCAUACUACCUUUGUGAUUUCAUCUAGCAUUUGUGAAGUACUUGUUAUUACCCCCAUUUCGUAGAUGAGAAAAUUGAAGCCUAGUUUAAAUAAAGAACUCAUCCAAGUUGUAUGCUCUUAUUUCAACACAUCAUUAUUUCUGUAAAGAGCUUGAAAGCCUACAUUAGUUUUGUAAAUAUUGGAAUAGAUUAUUCCUGGCUUAGAAAAUAUAUUCAAAAGUGUUUUAUAUGAAAGGACAAUGAAGACAAAUAUUUAUUUUCAAUUAAUAAUCUUAAUAGGUGAAAAUGCCCAAAUCUUUUUUGAAUCAUAGCAUAGUGAAUAUAUGAUUUUUGAAGAAUUUGAAUUAUGAUAAAAUGAGCCAGUAUAAGAGAUACUAUUCUUGCUCAAAUGUUAAUUAUUUCAAAAUGGAAAUCUAAUUAUUCAUAGGAUAAUUGACUAGGCUGAUAGGUUACAUGAUUUGUCUCUUCAUGACAUUUCUUCCAUUAAAUUAUGGUUUGGAAACAUUAUGAAGGGUGGGCUCCUUCUACUGAAAUUGAUAGUUAAUUUUUCGGUGUCCCUUAACUGCUAACAUUUAAAGUGAGCAUUUUUAUUACUAAAGAGAGAUGCUUAUGGAACCACUACUGCAAUAAGAGUCAUAGUGGUUUUAGCAAUGAUGAAAAGGUUAGAUCUAUUAGAAGGCACUCAAGGCAUAAUUGAGAUGUAUAAAAUUUCUGGUACAUUAUGAAACUGUUUUAAACUUUUGGAGAAAAGUAGAAUUGAAGUGAUAAAAGAACAAACUGAUUUUAAAUCAUAAGGUUCAUUUAAGGAUUGCUUUCUUCUCUAGCAUGUAUUUUUUCCCCAUAGGCAACACAUUAGCAGAAUUAUUCUCUAAUAUUUAUUACUAUGUAUAUUAUGUCUUAUAUGUAUUAUUACAUUCAAACAACAAACUUAUUCAUAGCCCAGGAAGGUCCUGUUGUGGCUCAGCAGUAUCGAAUCUGACUAGUAUCCAUGAGCAUGCAGGUUCGAUCCCNGGGUCAAGUUGGAGCUGUAGCUGCUGGCCUGCACCAGAGCCACAGUAACACCAGGUCUGAGCCGCGUCUGCGACCUACAACACAGCUCACAGCAACACCAGAUCCUUAACCCACUGAGCGAGGCCAGGGAUCGAACCUGCAACCUCAUGGUUCCAGGUCAGAUUCAUUCCAUUGUGCCACAACAGGAACUCCCAUUCAGGCUAUAAUAUUCUCAUUUUCAUCUAACCUGUUAAAAUAUGGCAUACUGACAUUCAUUCUGAAGGAUAAUUUAUUAAUGUAUUAAUGUACCCAGUGACCUAUAGACAUCUAAUAACUGCUGAAACAGCAAGGCUUAGAUUUGCCCUGUGAGUCAAUAUGUAAAAAUUUUAACCCAAAGUUUUGUAUCAUGUAAGAGUGUGACUCUGAGAUGUCAUUUUAAAGUUCUGCAUACAGAUAUUCUGAGUGAAAUAAACUUUUUCAUGAUGUUCAUAUCUCUAAUAUGUUGCUGAUGUUUGAAGCAACUCAAAAACUUUUCAGAUUUUAUGAGUGUCUACUUGAUUUGAACAUUCCUGAGAUCUUUCCCAGUAGGAAAGUGGUUGUUUGUUCUUGAAAUUUAAAUAAUCCCAUUGUGACCUGAAGGAAACAGAACUUUCUGAGUUACCUUGAUGGCAAAAAUGAAUUCUGCAAGAGGCGCUGGAGGGAUUGACUUCAACAGCAAUGUGCCAGUCAGAAAAAAAUUACUUGUGUCCUGAUUUGAGUGUCAGUGAAUUUGGAUGAAACAAAUUCCUGGAUUUCCAGGGACUACAUCUCAUCCCUUAAAAUGUCCACUCCUGUGUCUUAAACCUUUCCCUCUUGAUUACUUCAUAUUUGGCAUACAUGCAUGCUCACCUCUUGCUAAAGAUUAAAAACAACCAAAUUCACAUACCAACCUUCUCUCAUCUCAUGUCUAUCCCAAGUACUACAUUACCUCGGUCCGCACAGCUGGGAAGUUGUUUACACUUUUCCAGACCAUCCCUUGGCAUUAUUUAUCUACUCUAUUGUGAGCUUGAUCCCAAUUUUAUUAUUUUUUUUCUAAAUAGCUUCAUGCUUCCCAUCCUCUAAUUACCUUGUGUAGAUAAUCUUAUUUUCUCACUUCUUAAGUUAGAUGCUAGUGUAUUUAUGUCUGCAUUUCUUCUUAUUCUAAAAUGUUUAUUUAAAGCUGUCAGUGUCCCUGUAAGUACGGCUUUUACUGCAUUCCUCAAUAAUUGCUAUGCAAUAUUUUUGUUCUGAUUCAAAUCUGAAUUUGAAAAAAUCUGUUAUGAUUUAUGCUUUGACUAUACAUUGUUUAUGUGUAUUUUAAUUAAUGUAUAAAUUUAAUAUUUUUUAUAAGUUAAUUGGACUGUGGUCACAGACAUAAUUCUUUGCUACUGGUUUAGAUCACUUCUAUGCUGGAGUCCUAGCAUGUGGACAUGUUUGUAAUUGCCUUAUAUAAUCUUGAGAAGGAUGAGUGUUCUCCAUAUAUUCCAUAUAUGUCCAUUAAAUUUAGGUUAUUGAUUGUGUUCUUUAAAUACUUUUUAUCUAGUCUAUAUUGUUUUCCAACAUGACCUAUCAAUAUUGAAAAUAACAUAGUGGUAUCUCUUACUUUGGCAAUUACUAUAUAAAAUUUCUUUGGGUUCUAUCAAUUUUUCGUCUAUAAAACUUUUGCUUUUUUAUUUAGGUGUAUGCUUUUUGGGGACUAUAUCUUCCGAAUAACCUUUUAUCAUUAUAUAAGAGGGUAACGUUCAUAAAAUUUUUGUAAUUUACCUGACUUUUGUCUUAUUAAAGACAAGUCUCUUUUUCUAACAUCAUGGAAAUAUUUUCUGUAUUUUCUGAGACGUACUGUUUAUUUUUUUAAGUAUUGUAUUUUCCCUUUGUUUCUCUUAUUGCUUUGAUGGCAGCUUCAGGAACUCUUUGCAUAGUAACAAUUACAGUAAAUGUCCUUUCUCUUUUAAAGUGUUCAACUUUAUGAAGUGUUUUAAAUUUUUUAUCAAGUAUUAUACAUGUGUGAUAUGAACAUACAUAUAAUUUUAUAUACCGUUGUAUUAUCAUUUCCUAUUUAUCUCUCUAACGAUCUUUUGAGCUGUAAGUUCCUUCAGGAGAAUAUCCUUUUUUUUAACCAUUAUAUAUCCACUGGCUAGCAUAAUGCCUAAUAUGUGGUAAAUAUUAAAUUAGUAUUUAUUAAGUUUGAGUAAAAAAAUAAAUAUAUACUAUCAGAAGCAAGUGUUUAUGAACUAAAAACUGGAUAAUGACCAAAUCAUCGUACAAACCUUUGAUCAUUAUUUUGGGGGUUGUUUGUGUUUUUUAUUUCAACAAAUGAUUUUUCUGAAUUUGUUAAAAAUAGUAUUUUAUGAGUUAGGAGUUUGUUUAGUUGCCUGCGGUUUGCCUGUUGUUGUUUUAUUUUUCAUUUAUUUCUCUUUUUAAAAUAACACUUGCUAAAGCCAGAGAUGUUAUUGAUGGACCAAAAUAAGAAUUGAGCCACAAAAAAGCUGGUCAAUCAGGAACGUGGUGAUUGUGUUAACUUGGUAUUAUUAUUAUGUAUCAAGUUGCAGAUUCAUUUUAUUUUAUUUUUUAAUUUUUUAGGGCCACACCUGCAGCAUAUGGAAGUUCCCAGGCUAGGCUUAAGAUCAGAGCUGCAGCUGCCAGCCUACAUCACAGCAAUACCAGAUCCCAGACUAGUCUGUGACCUAUGCUGCAGCUCAUGGCAAUGCCAGAUCCUCAACCCACUGAGCUGAGCGGGGCCAGAAAUUGAACAUGUGUCCUUAUGGGUGAUAGUCAGGUUUGUUACCGCUGAGCCACAACAGGAGCUCCUAGAGUUCAUUUUAUAGUGUAAACAUUAAUGUGAGUGUGUGUAUUUUAAAAAGCUAAAAAUCAUCAGAAAGUCUUAACUUGUAAUUUCUGGCUAAUUAUGGCUGCAGAAGUCCAGGCUUUCCACAAACUCUAAUCAACCAUGUUAGAAAACCAUUCAUUUCACAAAGUAGACUGCUAGCCACAUACCAUCAAAAAUACCUCUGUUUCAAAAUUUAAAAUUAGAAAUAGGUGUAGUAAAAUUUGACUUGACUUUGACAUUUGCUAAGGUGCCAGGUAAACUCAAUUUAGUUUUGUUUUGUUUGUCCGUCAUCAAGUAAUUAUUAGAAAUAUUGUCCUAUUCAAAUAUAUUUCAGUUCAUUUUUGCAAUGGUUAUAUUUACUCAUUGUAAAAGCAAAAAUUCCUAUUACAGGCCCCUAAACUUCACAGUCUUAAGAAAUCUCAGCCAGGUUGCCUCUUUUAUUAUACAUUCUUUUUUAAAAGAAGCAGUGAGUAGCUUUUCUUCUCAAGUCAAUGCGUGUCAGUUACAAAUUCAUAGUACCUUUGUAGCUUGAAAGGCUCGUGCUUCAUGACAGGUGUCAAGACUGGUGAUGACUCAAAUUAAUAUUAAAGAAUAAUAAAUGAGGAGUAGAAGAAUUCUGCAGAAUCUUCUCUAAGACACUCAGUUUUAAGACCUUAAUGUCCAUAAAAAUGAAUUGCUACUAGGCAAAUUAUGAGAUGAUUUGGAAUAGUGGUACUUGAAGAGAAUAACACAGAUUUGUGUGACAGGCUUUUUUAAUGUAAGUCUGAUAUUCGAGUUAUAAACUGGUUUUCUAGUUAUUAGUAAUUGGUAGAUAUAAAAGACUAACUUUGUAGGUAGGGUCUAUUGAUGUUUCAUUUUUUUCUGAAUAAGGUUAAGUGUUAAGAUAUAUUAUUUCUCAGUGCUUCUUUUAAAUUUAGUAUAUAAAUAGAAUAUGGUAUUGAACUCUUGAAGAUUUUAAGAACUUUCUGUGUUUUAGAAAAUGUCCUAAGUCCUUUAGGAAAUACUAUAUCAAUGAAGAUUAUUUUUUAUGGACUUACGUGUUUCUAAAUAAAUGAUUUUAAACUAAAAUAAAAUUUGCAUUAUGAAUACAAAUAAAAACAUAUACACAAAACAAACACACACACAUUGCACAGUUUCUAAGAGUGAGAUUAACUAAGCCAGCCAUAACCAAAGUACAUUGAUUAGAAAUAUAGGCCAAUGCAGAUAGUAUAAUAAAUUCCUAUGGAUUUGAAAGAAACUGCCCACCAUCAUAUAAUAGGAAAGUCCUCUUUUCCCAAAAUUCACAAAAAUUCUACUUAUAAAUGCAGUCUCUGAAUUGUGUGAAUGCACACCAGUGACAUGUGCUGUGUUCACUUAUGCCACCUACCCACAUGUGUUAAAAUGGCAAAUUAAAACGGCUUUUCAGAUAUAGCACUGAUAUUGACAGAGUUGAAAGAAAUUGCUCUGCCAUGAAUUAAAAUGUAGUUUUGUGAAGACAUUUCACCCCACUCCCCACCACCACAGCGGGCAGAAAAAAGAAAUGGAAAAUCACACAGCAUCUAGGAAAAAUAGAUACUCUGAGAUUUCUGAAUAAUGUCCUUCAACUUUCAAAUAAAGAUGAAAGUAAGUCAAUUCCAAACUGUGAAUACAGGUCAUAGCUGAUGAAAUUCUUCAUAUUUGAGUAGAAAAUAAAAUUAAGUAUGAAAGUGGGUAGAGUUAGUAAAAAGAAAUCCUAAUUGGAGUGACAGUCACCAAAGGAAAAAGAACAGAGUGAUAUUUAGAAAUGUUGUUUUG
rnacentral:lncRNA from 1 species